GAUGAACGCUGGCGGCGUGCCUAAUACAUGCAAGUCGAGCGAACGGACGAGAAGCUUGCUUCUCUGAUGUUAGCGGCGGACGGGUGAGUAACACGUGGAUAACCUACCUAUAAGACUGGGAUAACUUCGGGAAACCGGAGCUAAUACCGGAUAAUAUUUUGAACCGCAUGGUUCAAAAGUGAAAGACGGUCUUGCUGUCACUUAUAGAUGGAUCCGCGCUGCAUUAGCUAGCUGGUAAGGUAACGGCUUACCAAGGCAACGAUGCAUAGCCGACCUGAGAGGGUGAUCGGCCACACUGGAACUGAGACACGGUCCAGACUCCUACGGGAGGCAGCAGUAGGGAAUCUUCCGCAAUGGGCGAAAGCCUGACGGAGCAACGCCGCGUGAGUGAUGAAGGUCUUCGGAUCGUAAAACUCUGUUAUUAGGGAAGAACAUAUGUGUAAGUAACUGUGCACAUCCUGACGGUACCUAAUCAGAAAGCCACGGCUAACUACGUG
rnacentral:rRNA from 1 species